rnacentral:rRNA from 1 species
CGCCCUUCCUACGGGGCGCAGCAGGCGCGAAACCUUCACACUGUGCGAAAGCGCGAUGAGGGAAUCCCAAGUGCUUGCUCGUAAGAGUAAGCUGUUUCUGUGUCUAAAAAGCAUAGAGAGUAAGAGCUGGGUAAGACGGGUGCCAGCCGCCGCGGUAAUACCUGCAGCUCAAGUGGUGAUCGCUAUUAUUGGGCCUAAAACGUCCGUAGCCGGUUUGGUAAAUGCCUGGGUAAAUAGUAUAGCUUAACUAUACGAAUUCCGGGUAGACUGCUAAACUUGAGACCGGGAGAGGCUAGAGGUACUCCUGGGGUAGAGGUGAAAUUCUGUGAUCCUAGGGGGACCACCAGUGGCGAAGGCGUCUAGCUAGAACGGGUCUGACGGUGAGGGACGAAGCCCUGGGGCGCGAACCGGAUUAGAUACCCGGGUAGUCCAGGGUGUAAACGCUGCUUGCUUGAUGUUAGUUGGGCUCUGAGCCCGAUUAGUGUCGGAGAGAAGUUGUUAAGCAAGCUGCCUGGGAAGUACGGCCGCAAGACUGAAACUUAAAGGUUUGCGGGGGAGCAC